GCAUGAUGUUGGUGUCCUCUUCUGUGUUCACUAUUCUGUCAACUUGAAUUUCAGAAGAUGAUAACCACGAAAGUGAAUGAACUCUUUAGCUUAAAGACAACUAACUCAUGCCCAUAUAGACUUCUAAGGAGUAAAACAAAUGAAUAUCAGAGAGAACAUAAAACCCAUAUCGAUGAACUUCAAGUAAAAAGUAUUCUAUUUUUGGGGGGUGAUGGGAGAGUAUAAAACCACAAAAAUAUGCAAUUAAGGUAAUAAGUGAACAUAAACGUUUCCAGGCAUUUGUCACCCCUAAUAAUGAAUGGAACAAUGUAGGUGCUGAAUUCCUGUAUGUGAGUUGCUUUAAAAGAAGCUCAGGUUCAAAUUUGGUUGUCCUGAAAUAGGUUUUUCUUGUUUUAUUAUAUUCCAGUGUGACAUUUCAGAGUUGGGAAGAUCAAGAGCAAAUCUUUACUGGAUUGGUUCAAGUGCGAUAUGAUUCUACAGCUCAUUGAACUUACUGCUAUUUUUUCUAGUGCCACUGGAGUAAGUGAUAUUACUCAUCUGAGUAAAGGCUGUGUGAUGAAGCUUAACAAGAAGAAAGGUCUGGAAAGCUGUACCUUGCAUAGACCACUGAUGGUCUAUGAAUCUUCAGGAAGAGAGGAAGGGAUUAGCUCAUUGAUUGUAUACUGCUUUCACAGAGGAGCUGAUUGUGCCCAAGGGCAGAUGAACAGAUGCUUCCUGUAACGCUGACUUAGUUUCCCGGACAUCCAGCCUUUAGCUCCUUCUAAGACUGAACUCUGCAAAAGAAGAACCCUGGGUUUCCUCUGGGCUGUCCUGGCAGGUUUCUUGGAGAGUUUCCAUGGGACUAUGUGUGGAAUUCUUUGCAGGAUGGGAUAACUGAAAUAUUAGGAGGCAUGAUUUAUGGGCUUUCAAACAAAGUCUGGUCCUUAAACCUCUCUCUAAGUGAAAAUAUUUCUAAAUCUUUUUUUUUUUUUUUUUUUUUUUUUUGUACUUGCAAUUUUUGGACUCUUCGCUUCUGAAAUCCUCAAUCCUCUCUCCUCCUCAGAUAGUGCAAGAAAUAUCUUUCCAAUGGAGCAAUCUGAGAUUCUUUCACUCGAAGGAGAAACAAAAUGUAAUCACAAAAAGUCUUUGAAAUUUUGAGAAUGAUGUUUUAGGCAAUGAAAAAAUUUUUCAGAUACUCUGUUUUACUUUGUGAAUUUAGCACAACCUGCUAAAAGGUUGUACAUAACACAAAGAACUCAAAGUAUCUUUCUUUCCCCCUGGAUAGCAACAACAACAAACAUUUGGAAAAAAAAUUGGAAAACCAAGGUAAAACCAAUCCUAGUUGGCAAAUCUUGUCUAUUAAAGUGAAAUACUACAAUGGAAAUCAAUGUGGCAUGAUUCCAGGACUGGUAUUAGUUUUUCCUCUUUAAAACAAACAGAUCAUCAUGAAGUUUGGACAAGUGAAAUGUCACACAGUUGUGGCUUUUCCAUUUCAAGAACACAUAGUAGUGUGCAAUACAGUGCAAAGUUUUCUGAAUUAUUUAUUCUUUUAGGUUUGGGCCUUCAUCCAAAACACCUCAGGCCAAAUCCAUAUUUGCUAUGACUCAAUUUACUUUAUUUUGGAUGCACCAGAGAAAGAUUAAACAUCAGGUGGCAACAAACUAAAGUACAAAAUCCUGGAACAGAGUCAGGUGUUAAGAAAAUAAAUAGGUAUUGUGCUGCCUUUUGUUCA
ensembl:lncRNA